rnacentral:rRNA from 1 species
CCUACGGGAGGCAGCAGUAGGGAAUCUUCCACAAUGGGCGAAAGCCUGAUGGAGCAACGCCGCGUGGGUGAAGAAGGUCUUCGGAUCGUAAAACCCUGUUGUUAGAGAAGAAAGUGCGUGAGAGUAACUGUUCACGUUUCGACGGUAUCUAACCAGAAAGCCACGGCUAACUACGUGCCAGCAGCCGCGUUAAUACGUAGGUGGCAAGCUUUAUCCGGAUUUAUUGGGCGUAAGGGGAACGCAGGCGGUCUUUUAAGUCUGAUGGGAAAGCCUUCGGCUUAACCGGAGUAGUGCAUUGGAAACUGGGAGACUUGAGUGCAGAAGAGGAGAGUGGAACUCCAUGGGUAGCGGUGAAAUGCGUAGAUAUAUGGAAGAACACCAGUGGCGAAAGCGGCUCUCUGGUCUGUAACUGACGCUGAGGUUCGAAAGCGUGGGUAGCAAACAGGAUUAGAUACCCCAGUAGUC